AUUGAACGCUGGCGGCAGGCCUAACACAUGCAAGUCGAACGAGUGGCGGACGGGUGAGAAAUGUCUGGGAAACUGCUUGAUGGAGGGGGAUAAUUACUGGAAACGGUAGCUAAUACUGCUUACCAUCAGAUGUGCCCUGGUGGGAUUAGAUAGUUGGUGGGGUAACGGCGCACCAAGGCGACGAUCCAUAGCGGGUCUGAGAGGGUGACCAGCCACACUGGAACUGAGACACGGUCCAGACGCCUACGGGAGGCAGCAGUAGGGAAUAUUGCGCAAUGGGCGCAAGCCUGAUGCAGCCAUGCCGCGUGUGUGAAGAAGGCCUUCGGAUUGUAAAAUGCUGUCAUCAGGGAAGCGUUACCCACAGAGGAAGCACCGGCUAACUCCGUGCCAGCCGCCGCGGUAAUAC
rnacentral:rRNA from 1 species